rnacentral:rRNA from 1 species
GUACACUCCUACGGGAGGCAGCAGUGGGGAAUUUUGGACAAUGGGCGAAAGCCUGAUCCAGCCAUGCCGCGUGCAGGAUGAAGGCCUUCGGGUUGUAAACUGCUUUUGUACGGAACGAAACGGCCUUUUCUAAUAAAGAGGGCUAAUGACGGUACCGUAAGAAUAAGCACCGGCUAACUACGUGCCAGCAGCCGCGGUAAUACGUAGGGUGCAAGCGUUAAUCGGAAUUACUGGGCGUAAAGCGUGCGCAGGCGGUUAUGUAAGACAGUUGUGAAAUCCCCGGGCUCAACCUGGGAACUGCAUCUGUGACUGCAUAGCUAGAGUACGGUAGAGGGGGAUGGAAUUCCGCGUGUAGCAGUGAAAUGCGUAGAUAUGCGGAGGAACACCGAUGGCGAAGGCAAUCCCCUGGACCUGUACUGACGCUCAUGCACGAAAGCGUGGGGAGCAAACAGGAUUAGAAACCCGGGUAGUCCC